UUGAUCCUGGCUCAGGAUGAACUUUAGCGGCAGGCUUAACACAUGCAAGUCGAGGGGCAGCAUGUCCAGCAAUGGAUGAUGGCGACCGGCGGAAGGGUGCGUAACGCGUGAGCAACAUGCCCUAUACAGGGAGAUACACCAGGGAAACUUGGUCUAAUAUCCCAUAGCAUUCAUUGAAGGCAUCUUUAAUGAAUUAAAGCUUCGGUGGUAUAGGAUUGGCUCGCGUGACAUCAGCCAGAUGGUGAGGUAACGGCUCACCAUAGCAAUGAUGUCUAGGGGUUUUGAGAGGAAGGCCCCCCACACUGGGACUGAGACACGGCCCAGACUCCUACGGGAGGCAGCAGUGAGGAAUAUUGGACAAUGGAUGGAAAUCUGAUCCAGCCAUGCCGCGUGCAGGAAGACGGCCUUAUGGGUUGUAAACUGCUUUUAUACGGGAGCAAUAAGGGUUACGAGUAAUCCGAUGAGAGUACUGUAUGAAUAAGGAUCGGCUAACUCCGUGCCAGCAGCCGCGGUAAUACGGAGGAUCCGAGCGUUAUCCGGAAUUAUUGGGUUUAAAGGGUGCGUAGGUGGGCGUUUAAGUCAGUGGUUAAAGCCAAUAGCUUAACUAUUGUAUGCCAUUGAAACUGGAUGUCUUGAAUAGGGUAGAGGUAGGCGGAAUGUGUUGUGUAGCGGUGAAAUGCUUAGAUAUAACACAGAACACCGAUUGCGAAGGCAGCUUACUAUGCCUUUAUUGACACUGAUGCACGAAAGCGUGGGGAUCAAACAGGAUUAGAUACCCUGGUAGUCCACGCUGUAAACGAUGAUCACUCGUUUUUGGCAAUACAUCGUCAGAGACUAAGCGAAAGCAUUAAGUGAUCCACCUGGGGAGUACGUUCGCAAGAAUGAAACUCAAAGGAAUUGACGGGGGCCCGCACAAGCGGAGGAACAUGUGGUUUAAUUCGAUGAUACGCGAGGAACCUUACCUGGGCUUAAAUGUAUAGUGCAUAAUAUGGAAACAUAUUUUUCCUUCGGGACUCUUUACAAGGUGCUGCAUGGUUGUCGUCAGCUCGUGCCGUGAGGUGUCGGGUUAAGUCCCAUAACGAGCGCAACCCUCAUCGCCAGUUGCCAGCAUGUAAUGAUGGGGACUCUGGUGAAACUGCCGGUGUAAACCGUGAGGAAGGUGGGGAUGACGUCAAAUCAGCACGGCCCUUAUGUCCAGGGCUACACACGUGUUACAAUGGCCAAUACAAAGGGCAGCCACCCGGCGACGGGGUGCUAAUCCAUAAAGUUGGUCUUAGUUCGGAUCGGAGUCUGCAACUCGACUCCGUGAAGCUGGAUUCGCUAGUAAUCGUAGAUCAGCCAUGCUACGGUGAAUACGUUCCCGGGCCUUGUACACACCGCCCGUCAAG
rnacentral:rRNA from 1 species